GGGCCCUUAGCUCAGCGGUUAGAGCAGGGGACUCAUAAUCCCUUGGUCGUCCGUUCGAAUCGGACAGGGCCCA
rnacentral:tRNA from 1 species